UACAGAGGAUGCAAGCGUUAUCCGGAAUGAUUGGGCGUAAAGCGUCUGUAGGUGGCUUUUUAAGUCCGCCGUCAAAUCCCAGGGCUCAACUCUGGACAGGCGGUGGAAACUACCCAAGCUGGAGUACGGUAGGGGCAGAGGGAAUUUCCGGUGGAGCGGUGAAAUGCGCAGAGUAUCAGGAGGAACACCGGUGGCGAAGGCGGUGGUCUGGGCCGGUACUGACGCUGAGGAGCGAAAGCGUGGGGAGCGAACAGG
rnacentral:rRNA from 1 species